UACGAAGGGGGCUAGCGUUGUUCGGAAUCACUGGGCGUAAAGGGCGCGUAGGCGGCUUUAUAAGUCGGGGGUGAAAGCCUGUGGCUCAACCACAGAAUUGCCUUCGAUACUGGGAAGCUCGAGUCCGGGAGAGGUGAGUGGAACUGCGAGUGUAGAGGUGAAAUUCGUAGAUAUUCGCAAGAACACCAGUGGCGAAGGCGGCUCACUGGCCCGGUACUGACGCUGAGGCGCGAAAGCUAGGGGAGCAAACGGGG
rnacentral:rRNA from 1 species